rnacentral:rRNA from 1 species
UACGGGGGGAGCAAGCGUUGUUCGGAUUUACUGGGCGUAAAGGGCGCGUAGGCGGCCAGCACAAGUCAGUUGUGAAAUCUCCGGGCUUAACUCGGAAAGGUCAACUGAUACUGUGCGGCUAGAGUGCAGAAGGGGCAACUGGAAUUCCUGGUGUAGCGGUGAAAUGCGCAGAUAUCAGGAGGAACACCGGUGGCGAAGGCGGGUCUCUAGGCCGAUACUGACGUGGAGGAGCGAAAGCGUGGGGAGCGAACAGG